rnacentral:rRNA from 1 species
GAUGAACGCUGGCGGCGUGCCUAAUACAUGCAAGUCGAGCGAAUGGAUUAAGAGCUUGCUCUUAUGAAGUUAGCGGCGGACGGGUGAGUAACACGUGGGUAACCUGCCCAUAAGACUGGGAUAACUCCGGGAAACCGGGGCUAAUACCGGAUAAUAUUUUGAACCGCAUGGUUCGAAAUUGAAAGGCGGCUUCGGCUGUCACUUAUGGAUGGACCCGCGUCGCAUUAGCUAGUUGGUGAGGUAACGGCUCACCAAGGCAACGAUGCGUAGCCGACCUGAGAGGGUGAUCGGCCACACUGGGACUGAGACACGGCCCAGACUCCUACGGGAGGCAGCAGUAGGGAAUCUUCCGCAAUGGACGAAAGUCUGACGGAGCAACGCCGCGUGAGUGAUGAAGGCUUUCGGGUCGUAAAACUCUGUUGUUAGGGAAGAACAAGUGCUAGUUGAAUAAGCUGGCACCUUGACGGUACCUAACCAGAAAGCCACGGCUAACUACGUGCCAGCCGCCGCAGUAA